GCGCGGCCCUGCGUCCCUCUGCUCCGUUCCGCCCCGCUGCUCCCCGAGGUGCCGCGCGUGGCCGCGUCACACCGAGCGCCCAGCGCCUGCCCCAGGCUGUGCGCUCCCGAGGAGAGAAAAUAACAAACAAACAAGCGAACAAUAAAACCCACUAAAAGCCGUGGAGAAACCCCCACGGCGCCCAGCGCGGCCGUCGCCCCGCGGUUCCCCCUCCCCGCGCCGUCCCGCUCCGUGCGGGGCUCCGCGCUGCGCACUGGCGGUGCCGCUGACGGGCGGCCGCGGCGCGGUGCCCUUAUUGGUUUGAAAUUCCAUUAAAUAUAUUGCAAGAGCGCCUAGGUUAAGCUUGAUUUAAAUUUGCAUACAUUUUCAUAUAUUUAGCAGAAAUAAAAGAAGGCUUGCAGCUACCAGAAAGUCAUUAAGGCAUUAGUUUCCCUGAGAAGACAGAUCUGAAGAAAAUUCAAGAAAAUGAGAAAAUUGAUAGAAAGAAGGUGAGCUGAAUACAAUGCCUGCAUUUGUGGCUAACUCCAAGCAAUACAUUAUGAAGAUGAUGUUAUUCAGACACACACCCAAACAAUUUGAUUCAGACAAAUUGGAUACGAGACUUUGACCAGCAUGAGAAGAGAACAGCAGUGUUUACCAUGAAAUGAUGGGGUCAACACUUCCUAGCAGCGUGGCCAACAGAUGUAGCGUGGAGAUGACAACUGUACGUUUUAGUGGUCUUUUGUUACCUCAGCACUGACUGAUGGCUGAGAGGCUGGAAGCCAGAAUGUCAAAGGCCAUCAGAUGUCCUAGCAGCCUCUAGGUCCCCUUUCUGUUAAGGGUUGAACUGACAAAAAUAUUUUUGUGUAGUUGCACGUAAAAGUGCUGUCAGCUUUUUGCAAUAGAAAGGAACCCUAAGAAGAAGCCCCAUGUGUGCCUUUAGCAACUUAUUUUAGCUUGUGGACCAACUUCAGGCUGAAGAGCAAGAUUUAAGAUCUUCCAGGAUUCACAUGUUUAAUAUUUGGAGAUUCAAUAAUUUUAUCUAAAAGUCAAAGUAGCUGUUGAUAGAAAAAGACCAUGUAUGAUGGCAUAAAAAUACCACAUUAACUUACUGAUAAAAGAAUCUGUGGUGACUUUGCUGAGCUUUUGUUGGUCUAAAUGCUUGGAAACUAUUUUUUUUUUCUUUAUGUCAGGAAAGGAACUGUUCAUACACCAGGUGUUGCUCUCCCAACCCCUCUCUUUUUCAAUAUCUCACAGCUGUAUGAUAGGUAAUUAAAACAAUCACCGACAUGUUUCAAAGCUGUUGUAGCCUUUAGUUGACUUUUAAAACUCUUAUUUGAAAAAGAAUGGUGAAAUUAAUUUGUAUCUGGCUCAGGAAUGUGCUCUUUACUUGAGCAAUGGACUUUACAACAUUGCCAACAAAAAGACUGAAAUUAAUAUUACUCUUGCCUUUAUCUAGGGUUAUUCUGUUAACUGUUUUAUACUGGAAAUUAAUUUCAAUAUCAGGCAGAUGUCUACAAGCCAUGAAUGCAGCAGCUCCAGCAUACAGUCAGAUAGCUUUCUCUUCAUAAUGAUGGUAAAAAUAAUAAUUUAAAAGAAGUAAACUUGCCAGCACAAUUAAAUGAUUCUGAUGUAGAUAAUGGAAAGAGGAAGUUUUAAAGAAUGGACUAUAAAAUGAGUAAGAUUAAAAAGUGUCAUUUAAAAUAGUAUUAUGUGGUUGUUUAGAAAAGAACUGUAAUUUUACAGGCUCAUCUUUCUACUGAGAAGAAUUACUGUGAGAUACAGAGACUUUGGGAUGGGUGUAUUUGUGAUGCUGAAAUGCUCUGCUGUUUUCUGUUGGUUUUGUGUAUGUGUUUCUUUUCUGUGCUUCAGCAGCUGGCUUUAUGAAACUUGUAAUUCAUUCAUUGUGCUUGCUCUAUGGGACAGGAUUUUAUUCUGAAAAUAAAUUUACUUCUAAUAUGUUCUUUCUGAUCAUUAAAAAAAAACCCUUCAUCUUUAUGAAUGAUUGUAUUGUUACAUCAGUGUAAAGUGGACCAUGUAGCACAAGUGAACAGAAAAUCCAGUGAGCAAUGUGUAUAAAAUGUAAGAAAGUGAACAAGAAAAGCAGUGUAUGAUCUAAGAAUGAAGCAGAAAUUUAGUUUGGAAACAUGUUUUAUUGUCAUACAGCCUUGUGAGAUCCCAGUUAUUCGCAUAGUUAUUGAUUAAAAACAACUGCAUUUGCAGGAAAAUAUGCGCUUCAGAAAUAACCAAGAUAUGCAGUGGCAGAUCUUAAGCUUUUCAUCGGGGUGUGCAGUUUGUAGGUACAGGCAGGAGCAUCCCUCAGAGGUCGGGCACAGGCUGGCUUUCCUCUCCUUGUUCUCAGAAGGAUGUCUGCCUCAU